AACAUAACGAAAGGGUAGUGAAUUUGCCCACAGUGUAUUGUUAAGUUUUUGAAAAUUUUCAAAGCAUUUUCCCAAAAUAUGUGUCAAAAUAAAAUUUGUCACCAAAAAUCAUUCCAUUAGCUGAAACAGAGAAAGUUGUGGCCAAAAUAAGACUCAACUUUACCCCCUAGUGGACGAAAACGUCCCCAACAACACAUAAGGGUUAAAUUGAUUAUUUGAUUAACAAUUUAAUUAGAUUUAAGUUAUUUAUUUACGACAUCUUUAUGUUUAGCCUAUGUAAAUUCUGCGUGUUUUAACGAGCGCGCGCUGAACAUUGGAGUAGCGUUCAUUCAGAUACAAACACCGGAGCGGAGGGAGUUGCCAUGGAAACGGGGCGACCGACAACACUGGCAAGCUGCAAGCUCCGUUUCUUGCUGCUGUUUUCACUGCUUUCGAUUCUUCCGUGUUUGAUGUUCUUCUGCAUCCCAGAGUCUGAGCAAGCCUCCUGUCCAACAACAUCUCCAAGACACACUGAACCAUACGACUAGCAGGGAAAAACACAUCGUGGACCAAAGAGGAAACUGACAACACACAGACAGACAAGACAGAGAAGGUUGCUUCUGCCUCGUGUGUGAAGACUUCAGAAGAUGCCAGACCUCACAAAGAUUUCAGAUGAUGGCAACUAUAGAUGAACAUGCAAAGCUGCUAAAUAAUUCUUAUAUUGUAAUCAUUGCCCUAAAAGGAAGGAUCUUAUCAGCAAAUCUACUUCACAGCACAUCAGUGAAAGCAGUUGACAGUUACGGAUGGGUGUGUUGGAUCAGGGUCAGAUCUGAAUUCUGAUGGUUUUCUGGGAUGACAGUUGAAGAUGAUCAGAACAUCAGAUGUUGGUCUGGACAGCUGUACCUACAGUACACCACACUGACCUCUCUGCUUUUGCAUGGAUAACUGACUUACUACCAUGUUCUGUGAAGGUAUUAUUAUAGCAAACCUGAGCACCUGUGACAGUGGAAUAGUUGUAAUGAAUAGUCACACAUGCAUAUUGGUAAAUUUAAAGUUACAGAUAAUUUUUUUUAGUACUAGCAAUAUUUUUAUUUUUAUUUUUUAUUUUUUAUUAAUUCUCUCCAGCAAACACAACACAACAGUUACACCAUUUCGAAUUCUGAGGUGCACAAAUCCUAUUCUACAAAUAAGAGAACAACAGUAUAAAAGUGCUCAGUUUAGCCUCUUUCACACUGAGAUUCCGGAUAAAACACGGGUAAUGUGUCCCGGCAAUUGUUCCCGGAUUGUUAGAUUUUGGUUCAUUCACACUGCCAGUGAUAGCGUUCACACACAACCCAUAAAGGUCCCGUAAUGACACGAGACAUCAGGAUGUGAUGUGUAAUGUAUGAGUUAAAAAUGCUAGGCCGCCAAUAAACGGAAGAAGGAGAAGAAGCAAAGCAGAAGUGUUUUCAAUGCUUUAUAAACAUGGCAGCUGAUCAGCUACUAGGGACAUUGUUGUUUAUGUAUAAAGCAUCUUCCACACAGAAAUUCCGGAAAAUACACGGAUAAUGUGUUCCAGGAUCCUUUGAUUGUGGUUCAUUUACACUGGCAGUGAUUUUCUGGAAUCUGUGUGUCACACACAACCCAUAAAGAUCCCGUAAAGACACAUGACAUUACGAUGCGACGUGUUUUGUUUCACUUAAGCUGGCGAACGAUCUCAGCUUUAGCACGGAUAGUGAGGAACUAACUGAUCUCUGCUUCAUUACAGUUUGCACAUAUUUUUUCGUCACGAAUGUUGAUCUGCCGUCAAAACACCCGGUAAAAGAGUCGCAUGAUAACGUGCGUCAUCACUACGACACACCCUUUACGCCAUUGGUUCUGGCUUUUGUUCACACAGAGCUCGUUCCGGGACUGAACCCAGCAAUGUUCCUAGGUCCCCAAACCAGGAUCAGUCCCGGAAUCAAUCCCGGGACGUGUUUGCGUUCACACAGAAGGCACUUUGGCAAUUUUCCAGCAAUUUUUUGGGACCACCGUGCAGUGUGAAAGGGGCUUUAGUCUAGCACAGUACACAUUUAGUUACAAGUUAUUUAUUUAUAUUAUUUUAUUUUUUUUAUUUUUUUUACAAAUAAGAGCAAACUGAAUAAAAUAGGAUUGAACUGAAUAGAAAAGGUAAGUGCUAGUAUUAAUUGAUCAGGUGCUGAUGGAAAAAGAGGUGUCUUUAAUGUUUUUGGAAAAUGGCUGAAGACUCAGAUGCUCGAACUGAGAAAGGCAAGUCAUUCUACCAUGAUCUUAUCUACAAAUACUACUAUUCUCAUAAAGUCUGUAAAUAUGUCCAGUUCUAAUAAACACACAUUUCAGGAAAAAAUAAUUCAAUAAUAUGACCAAAAUGAAAUACAGUCCUGCAUAAAUCUGGUAUAACUGAGCCUGUGAAUUUCUUAAUUUGUGAUUUGUAGAAUAGGAUUUAUGCACCUGCAAUGAAGAUUUUUGAGAAGGUUUUGUUGUGUUUGUUAGAGAGAAAGAAACAAAAUACAAGCUUGCAACUCCAAAAACAUUUUCUUGAUGACUUUAUUGAAAUAUUCUCUACAAAUACAAAUUCCACUGUCACAGGUGCUCAAUUUUGUUACAAUAAUAUACAAAGUGUCUCGAAUGUACUAUAGAUGUACUGUAUGCAAAUAUAACAAAAGGACAUUAACAACUGAAUAUUCAGGGGAUGCAAACUUAUCACCUUUAAGUAAAAAUAGUCAUUUUGAAUCCAAAAAUCAUUUGCAUGAUUUGUGUAGAUCCAAAGAGUUUUUAAAAGUGCAUUAGUUAAAUAGCACAUGCUAAAUAGCACAAGGCAUAUUUUACAUGUUAUUUACAUAAUAAAAAGAUAAGGAAUACAUAUUUUACAUCAAAUGUUGCCAUUUUAUAUUAAAAUAUACAAAAGAUAAUACCCCCAAACUUGAGAGAAAUGUAAUAAUGGAGUGAUGGUAAAUGUAUAAAAAAGCAACUAAAAAUUAACUUUAUUGUCUUAGUUAUUUGUCUGUCUAUUGUGGGUUACAUUGUCACCUUUUUCAAACCUGACCUGAAUAGUUCACAUCCCUGAUAUUACAAAGAACUCAAGUUUUAAUUGCAAAUGAAAAUGUGCCUCUCUCUUUUAUACAAGGGUAAGAAUUUUUUUUUUUUUUUUUUUUUUUUUUUAGAAAAGUAAUGAUAGUGAACCAUGACUGAAGCUGUCAGUCUCUUAAAGUUCUGUUUUGCAUCUACUUUUGUGCCCCACUGAAAAUAAAAGUCAAACACAUUUGGUAAUAACAUUUUUAUUCAGUAAAUAUGGCUUUUAAUUUGUUACUUGACACUAUUUAUAUUAGCCUAUAAUAUACUUUAUACCUCUUUGUGUGUGUAUUUGUGUGUAAAUGCAUUUUCUUUGAUAGAUCUUAGAGGGUUUGUGCUCUAAACGUGUAUUUGUAACUGUGUAUAAACUGUAUUGUAUAAAUAAUAAAGAAAUUAUGACAAUGUGAUGUGUGUUUAAUAAAUUAUUACAUAUAACAGGCUAAUUUAUUUAGUACCAAGUAAGUGAGAUUUUUAAAACAAGCAGAAAAUGUUAAUAGCAACGUAAUUUUACCCAUAUGAAAUCAACAUCGUUUCAACGUUAGGUUAGCAAACCAAUUAGUUCGAUUUUAUGUUGAAAACGUGUUGAUUCUCUGACAUCGUUUCAACCAACUGAAAAUCAACGUCGAUUUAACGUUAGGAAAGUGAACCAAUUGCGUCGAUUCCGGAUUAAACGCUGCUGCUAAUUAAA
ensembl:lncRNA